UGAGGCAGGAGAAUUGCUUGAACCCAGGAAGUGGAGGUUGCAGUGAGCCAAGAUCAUGCCACUGCACUCCCAGCCUGGGUGACAGAGCGAGACUCCAUCUCA
rnacentral:miRNA from 1 species